AAGAGUAAGAAUUUUGAGUCAUUUGGAUGGUAUUUAUUUUGGUAUUAGUCAGUUGACCUUGGCUGGCAAAGGGAUGUCAUCCAUCUCCGGAGGAUAACCUGGGGGUAAACUGAAGAAUGACAGACACAUCUUAUUAACCAAGAGUCGCUCGAGUGGCGUGCAUAAAUUACUCAUUUAGAAAAUUCUAAUGUACACAGCUCUUAUCUAAUCUCCCAACGUGGUCCAGGAACUCAAGAAUACUAGAGAAUUGAGGCCCGUAGUAAAAGUAUUACUAUCUCCUGAGAAAUUUCAGACCAUAAUUAUAAGUGUUUAACAUUUACUAAGCAUGUAGGAUGUACCUUUUAAAACAUGGCAUUUGAUCUUUACAAUGAUCCUAUGAGGUAGCACUAUAAUUAUUUUACCAAUGAGGAAAUUGAGGCUUAGAGAGAUUAUGUGACCAGCUCCAAAUUGCAUAACUAUGAAUAGGCAGACUCAGGAAGUAUGACUCUAAGUCUAGCGCUCAAGCAUAUCUCCCAUUGAGGAAAGAAGUUAGAUGGAGGCGUGUGGAUCAAAAUGCCGCCACCCUGCAUUCUUCUGUGGAGUCUGGAACUUUUGAGGUUUCCCUGGCCAGCAGCAACAAUGGUCAUUUGUGCCAGGCUGCAGGGAGCACUGUGGCCUCCUGCAGAGAGCCCAAGGCUGAGAGUGGGGAAAGCCCAGUUCCAGCCUGGCUCUGCCACUUAUAUUUGUGUAACUUUAACUGACACCCAACCCUCCUGUGCUUUGUUUUCUCGCAUGUGAAACACUUGCUCUUCAAGUCUCAUAGGGGAGCUGUGACAUGAAAGUAUUCCAAAAGAUUGGCAGAGUUCUACAAAUAGGAUGGACAGUUCAUCUCCCAGAAUAACAGCUAUGUAGCAUUUCUUAGCUGUCAGUCUAGGUUGGAGCAGGAAGAAAAGGGAUCCAGGAGAAAUAGUGUCAAGAAAAUAACAAUGAAAAAAACGUUUACCUGAUAGGCUCGAUCAUAGUGAGAGGAUAGAAACAUUUCUGUCAGAGUUCAAGAAUAACCAAGUAAAUUUUUUUAACUUUACAUAUUAAUUUUAGGGAGAUCAGAAAGCUAAAUAAAAAGGAAAUAUAAUUACAGUAUAUCACAUGGCUCAGAUGUGAAUCUUCAUAUAGUCUUAAUAAUGUAAAUAGAGAAUGUUGAACUAGCUCCAAAUUGUAACAGUACUGAGAAGGUGGUUGGGGAAGGGGGGACAGGGUGUAAGAAGAUGAAAUCCUUAUCUUUAGUAGUAAUAAGCAGAAAAUAUCUAAAAGUCUAGAAGAGUGUAAGCAUGUUAUUUAGAAAUAACCAGAGAAAAAUAGUAACUAAGAGUAAAUAAUAGGAGACAAGUUUCAAAAAGUUGAAAAUAAUUGCCUCUAGGGAGCAGAAAUCAGGAAUGGGGAAAAGGAAGGGAGGAGAUGGCUUUUUUUCUUUUUAAAGAAGAUUUGUAGAACUUUUUGACUUUUAAACCAGUAUAUCCCCUAUCUAGCCAGUCGGCAGUAAAAGAAUGUUGUAGACUUUGACACAGACAGACCUCAGCUACAUCUCUUACUGCUUGUGGGACCUUGGGCAAGUGGCUUCUCCUCUUUGAGUUCCAGCUUGCUAAUCUGUAAAGUGGGACUGUCACUACCUAUGUCAGAAGAGGAGAAGCAUGGGAAAUGGUUGAGAGGCUCUGCAGGUGGACUGUCUAAGCUCAGAUUCCAGAUCUUACUGACUGAAAGCCUGUGAGAAAUUGUGGAAAUUAGUUCAUUUCUCUAUGCCUCAGUCUUUUCUUCUGAAAAAUGGUGAUUAUAAUAACAGAACCUACCUGGGAGAGUUGCUAAAUGGAUUAAAAGAGACAAUCCAGAAGCUCCUGACACACAGUGGGUUUCAGUAAAUAACUUUCAGGCAUUAUGAGGGUUACACAAAAUAGCACAUCAUGCAGGAUGCAUGGCGCUUGACCCAUAACAGGCAUCCCUUUCUCCCAAAAACACAUCAGAAGAAUCAGAGAAGAAGUCUCCCCAGCCAGACUAAUAGGAUAGAUGGCUACCUCCCAUGCAACAAUAUGGAGAUAAGUGGUCCUUGCCCUGCCACGAAGCCCCUCUCCAAACAUACUUCUCAGAAGAGUUGUUUUAUUUCUAGAAAGUGUAUAAGACUCAUUUAAUUCUUAUAGAACUUCACUGGCUUGUUCUUCAGUCUCCUUAAAGUUUACAGGUUAGGCUGAGAUGAGAAAGCCUAUCAAGGCCAUCUCUGCCAGGCCGGGACUCAGAGUACCUAGCAGAGCAGGUGCACCACACCAGUGUGCGACAGAUGCUCUGCAGCUGAAACAGGUAUCCUCUGAGUUCAUGUCAGGCUACAUCGUAAAACUGGCCACAGGAAUGCAUGUAAAGCCACGCUCACACCCAGAUGCACCUGUACCUAGUUACUCCCACCUCUCCUGGGAGUGAGAGAAGACUAUCUAACCCAGAUCCCAAGUCAUUUCCUGCCAGGGCUUCACAGCAAUUCAAAGAACUUCUAAGUGCAGGUUCUUUCCAAAUAGAUUGGUUUCUUGAAACUCACAAGAAGUCAAACACCAGAAAAAGAGGGGAUUUUUGAAAGCCACCCACUAGGAUGGCAACUGGUACUUGGUAGUUUCAAAUAUUAAGAAAAAAAAAAAUCAGCGUUGAUGAGGCAGUGUCUAAUCUCCCUGAGCACAGGAAGUGAAGGCGAUGGAGUCUGAUUUGCAGGAGGCCCUGAGGUUGCACAAAGCAGCCACUCCUCCAGCGAGGCCCACUUACCGCCUGCCGAGACGCCUGCUGAGACGCCUGCUUUGCCUGCCUCCAGCUGAGCACACCGGAGGGAAAGCACCAUUAAAUUCCCUGUGAGCUCUGAGCCAAUGAGCUGCACCAAGGUCACCAGGUGAAGGGGAUGGGGAAGGAGGGAAGAAAGGAUGAGAUGGGUUUGACAAGGCUAAGUUGAUGGGGCCAGUGGGAGACAGUAGCCUUGAGGCCAUUCAUUCCAGAAAUGUUUAUUGAGCCCCUAACAUUCACCAGGCAUCGAAGUUAGGCACCCAGGACACAAGCAAGAAUUAAAGUUGUCCCUACACUGAUGGACUCCUCAGACUGGUGGGAAGUUGGCUGUCAUCUUGGUUGUGCUGUACUGUGGGAGCACAGCAGAGGGAUCCCUUACUUCUGCCUUGGGCAUGGAUGGUGUUAGGGAAGAAUAACCUUGGAGUUGAAUGUUGUAGGACAAUUAGGAGUUUUCCAGGCAGACCAACAGUUGCGAGAGGUGGGAGGGUGGAAAGCAAUGCAGAGGAAACCACCUGUGCAAAGGAUGGAGGUUCUGAAAAUUAGAUGUCAUAGUAGGACCAUGCGAAAGGAUUGGAUGCAUUUGAGCAAAAGUUAUAAGAGGCUAGAAAUGCAGACCGAGUCCUACACCUGUGGAUGGGAGAAGCGGAGCAGGGAGAUGGUGAGGUUCCUGCUCAUAGUCAAGAAAUGGGGAGAGAGGAAACCAAGCGGCAGAGGGGACAUGUUUAGAGAGGUUCUGAGGAAGGAUGGAUGGGAUCUGCUGCCAAACUGGAUUAGGGGAAGAGUAGAGGACAGUUCCCACUCUCCUUGGGUUGGAAGACAGAUUGUCUUGUCGUUAAUCAAUUCUGAGGAUACUAGGGGAGGGUUGCAGUGAGAGAGUCAUGAAUUCGGUUUUGGCAAGGUUGAAUGUGAGCUGCCUCAAGUUCAUCCACGUGGAGAUGUGCAGCAGACAGUGGGAAAUACUGGUCUGGAGCCCAGGAGAGAGGCCUUAGCUGGAUGUCUAGAUUUCACAGCAUGUCAGGGUUAUCUUUAUAGAUAUUUCUUAGGGGGGAAUUAGCCUCACGAGAGGGUUCUCCUACUAGAGAAAGAGAGAGAAAGUGGCUUAUCUGAUUGGUUGGCUUGGGGAAAGAACUGGGCAUGCGCAGCCCAGCCCCUGGGGGUUCACCUCCUCUUGAUCUGUCUCCCCACGUGCUGAGUGGCUCCCCUGGGAUUGCGGUGGGUUGGUCUGUAGAGUGAGCCACUUGGAACAGACCCAAAGUCAUAGUCUCAAAUCAGCUUUAUCAGUAAUAAAGCAAACGUUUUGAUCUCCAUGUCUCCUACAAACUCAGGAGGGAAAAAGUGUUGUUUAUCAAAACCACUGCCAAACUCCAAAGAAUAUUACUGUAAGUUUUUGGGUUUUUUUUUUUUUUUAAAUCGGCACCUGAGCUAAGAUCUGUUGCCAGUCUUCUUUUUUUUCUUCUUCUUCUCCUCCUCAAAGCCUCCCCAGCACAUAGUUGUAUAUAUAGUUGUAUAUUCUAGUUGUACGUCCUUCUGGUUGUGCUGUGUGGGACGCCGCCUCAGCAGGGCUUGAUGAGCGGUGCCAUGUCGGUGCCCAGGAUCUGAACCAGCGAAACCCCGGGCCACUGAAGUGGAGCAUGUGAACUUAACCACUCGGCCAUGGGACCGGCCCCUUAAUAGCCUGCUUCCUGGGGAGCUCAGCCCGAGAUGCUCAGAAUCAAUCAUCCAGUGGCUUUCGGGAAAGGUCAAAGGAUCUUUGGGAAAUUGGACACAGAACAAAUAAGCUAGACCUCUGAAAGCCACAACCACCACCAGAUGAACCAAUCCUACCUGUGUUUGCAUAAGCCCAGCUCAUCAUAUCCCUUUUAACAAAAUAACUUGGAAAGGAAGAGAAUGUGGUGUGCAUGGCCCAUGAUCGUGUCCAUGGCUCUGGAGCAUCCCUCACGUGAAAGCAGCUUCAUUUCUUGGCCAAGCAGACCUGAGCUUGGGCUCCCUGUCUGUGCUGUGACCUCACCCUGCUGAGCCAAAUGUACAGUGACUCAUGAGUCAUCGGGCUCAAUCAAAAUUUCCUCUUAGCUACGUACCCCGCCCCCACCUCAGGACAGUGGUUAUCUCCGCCUCCCCCUUGUGGAGCAUGGCUGCUGAGUGGGAGAAAGGAGGGAAGGAGAAAACGAGUCAAUCAAGAAACG
ensembl:lncRNA